AUCUCUUUCUGGAGAUCACUCUUUUGGAGUUUUUCCUCUGAGCCUUGGAUGUGGGCCAUUAACACUCUAAACAACAGGGAUUCAUGUGCAGGUAUCUGAGGAACUCUCCAGUGUGAUUUAUAGCAUAAGAAAGUCCAUACUAUGUCUGAACAAAUAUCUCCCAAGUGCCUGUGUGUUGUCUUCAGUAGUGGAUGAUCAGGGAAAGUACAUUAACAAAGAGUAUACACUUCUAACUUCUGAGUCUGAGAACUAGUUUUUCUGCAAUAUCUUUGAUAGGAUCUCAAUUUCUGAAAUCUAUUAGUGAUCUAUGGGUAAUUUCCCAACUGUUUCCCACAUAUGGACAUCAAAUUAAUCUGUUAUAAUGAUGUUUAGUCUGGAGUCACGGACCUCAUGUUGCUGAAAUUUUAGGAAAUGCCUCAAGAAGAAAAGAAAACAUAACAAGAAGUUGCCAUUAUCUAAGUAAGUUUAUACAAAAUCUAUUUUACAAAAACACAUCUGAGGUUAUAAAUCUAAUAUAAUGUAUCAUUUAGGAGUUCUGUGUGGAUCAAUACUGAAAUGUUGCAGACUCAUCUUGAGCACUAUUGCAGCUUUAAGCAUCACAACAUGAGGAGGGUAAAAAACCUUUGAGAUCCGCUCUGUAAAUACUUGAGGUAGAUUUAAUACUAUGUUCAGAGCUGCAUAAGCAUGAACUCAAAAUCAAAUUUAUUUGGUGUUUUCUGAUGCUUUCUGUUUAUUUGUUUACAAUUCCAUAUGCUCAGUCAAGGGAAGAAAAUAAUUCAGAAGAUUGAUAGAAGUCGGAUGCAUUUCUCAGAAACAAUAACAAUAAGUAACUAUUUUAUAUUUAGGUUUAGACAUUUCAGCAUCAAGCAACACUCAUUCUACAGCAUAUUAAUUGUCGGAAUAAACCUGGGAUGCUGUUAUGUUUACACUUCCUACCCAGCAGUACUCGCCAUGUAGAUAUGUUCCUCCUGUUCAGUUACACAGACGCAGAGAAUGUGCCGUAGUUGAAUUCAGCUGUUCAAUAGCCAAAGAGGAGUUGUGGAAUUACAAGGACUUUUGAAACUUGAUACUUCACAUGUAUUGUAAUAUGUAAUGUACUUUUGGGACACAGAUACAAAUGCUAACAUUAAAUAGGUCAAAAAAAGCAUUACUUUAUUUGCAGAUGUUUAUGUAAUUUUGAGAUAUGUGUACAUAUCAUGUGUAGCAGAACUUUUUCAAUCCGAAUUCUACUUUCAGUCAACUGGGAAGUAGUAUAUAUGUGCAUCACAUUGGCUUAUGCAUGUAUUUACUUUUACUUAUACUCUGGUGUAGAGGUUGCGAUUUAUUAUCUUAAUUAAAAAAAAAUGCAAUAUAUGAUUCUUUGGUAGACUUCUAAGUUUCUUUUCCCUUCCUAUUCUAAGUAUAAGAUGUAAAUAUGUUGAGGAUGGUGUGUGUGACAUAUUAAUUUUAUCAGUUUUCUCUUUGAGGUUAGAAAAUUAUGUCAUUAUCGAGUUUUGUGUAAACAAAGCUAAUUUUCUCAUCUUCUGGACAGAAUUUUUUCAUGUCUGCUAUGCAUAUUAUAGAGGAAGGGAAAUAAAUGUUCUUAAUCACC
ensembl:lncRNA